rnacentral:lncRNA from 1 species
UGCAAGUAGUGGGAAAGUCACCAGAAGUCCAUCCCCAGUUCCUCAAGAAGAGCACAGUGACCCUGAGAUGACUGAAGAGGAGAAAGAGUAUCAAAUGAUGUUGCUGACAAAAAUGCUUCUAACAGAAAUUCUGCUGGAUGUCACAGAUGAAGAAAUUUAUUACGUAGCCAAAGAUGCACACCGCAAAGCAACGAAAGAUGUGAUACAAAGCUCCUGCAAAACAGCUGGCACAGUCCAGUGCACUGGCUUCCCUCACUGGACUCGGUGGACUGGGUGGUUAUGGAUCAGGAGACAGUGAAGAUGAGAGGAGUGACAGAGGAUCUGAGUCAUCUGACACUGAUGAUGAAGAAUUACGGCAUCGAAUCCGGCAAAAACAGGAAGCUUUUUGGAGAAAAGAAAAAGAACAGCAGCUAUUACAUGAUAAACAGAUGGAAGAAGAAAAGCAGCAAACAGAAAGGGUUACAAAAGAGAUGAAUGAAUUUAUCCAUAAAGAGCAAAAUAGUUUAUCACUACUAGAAGCAAGAGAAGCAGACGGUGAUGUGGUUAAUGAAAAGAAGAGAACUCCAAAUGAAACCACAUCAGUUUUAGAACCAAAAAAAGAGCA